rnacentral:rRNA from 1 species
UACGUAGGCAGCGAGCGUUGUUCGGAGUUACUGGGCGUAAAGCGCGCGUAGGUGGCUUCGUAAGUCCGUUGUGAAAGUCAAAGGCUCAACCUUUGAAUGCCGAUGGAUACUGCGAAGCUAGAGUACGGAAGAGGCGAGUGGAAUUCCUGGUGUAGCGGUGGAAUGCGCAGAUAUCAGGAGGAACACCAAUAGCGAAGGCAGCUCGCUGGGACGUUACUGACACUAAGGCGCGAAAGCGUGGGGAGCGAACAGG